rnacentral:rRNA from 1 species
AUGGCUCCUCCGGCUUCUUACCCUUGUCACCACCACCACUGCCCUUCUUUUGAACACAUCCACUUCCACUUCCAGCUCCAUCAGCACCGUCGACGACCUCCCCGCCCUCCUAUCGUUCAAAUCCCUCAUCACGAAGGAUCCCUCGGGUGCACUCUCCUCAUGGACCAUCAACAGCAGCUCCAAUGGCAGUACUCAUGGCUUCUGCAGCUGGACCGGCGUGAAAUGCAGCAGUGCUCACCGGGGCCAUGUCAAGGCGCUGCGCUUACAAGGUCUUGGCCUCUCCGGGACCAUUUCACCAUUUCUUGGGAACCUCACGCGUCUCCAUGCACUCGAUUUGUCCGACAACAAGCUUGA